CAAGCGGUGGAGCAUGUGGUUUAAUUCGAUGCUACGCGAAGAACCUUACCAGGUCUUGACAUCUUCUGCCAACCUAAGAGAUUAGGCGUUCCCUUCGGGGACAGAAUGACAGGUGGUGCAUGGUUGUCGUCAGCUCGUGUCGUGAGAUGUUGGGUUAAGUCCCGCAACGAGCGCAACCCUUAUUGUUAGUUGCAAGCAUUCAGUUGGGCACUCUAGCAAGACUGCCGGUGACAAACCGGAGGAAGGUGGGGAUGACGUCAAAUCAUCAUGCCCCUUAUGACCUGGGCUACACACGUGCUACAAUGGACGGUACAACGAGUCGCGAAACCGCGAGGUCAAGCUAAUCUCUUAAAGCCGUUCUCAGUUCGGAUUGUAGGCUGCAACUCGCCUACAUGAAGUUGGAAUCGCUAGUAAUCGUGGAUCAGCAUGCCACGGUGAAUACGUUCCCGGGCCUUGUACACACCGCCCGUCACACCAUGAGAGUUUGUAACACCCAAAGCCGGUGAGGUAACCUUCGGGGACCAGCCGUCUAAGGUGGGACAGAUGAUUAGGGUGAAGUCGUAACAAGGUAACC
rnacentral:rRNA from 1 species